GACGAACGCUGGCGGCGUGCCUAAUACAUGCAAGUAGAACAGUUGCGAACAGGUGAGUAACGCGUAGGUAACUGCGUCAUAAAGGGGGGUAAAUAUUGGCAAAGCUAGCUCAUAGCGCAUACUGUAAGCUGUACCUGCGUUGUAUUAGCUCGUUGGUGGGGUAAAGGCUCACCAAGGCGACGAUACAUAGCAGGCCUGAGUGGGUGAGCGGCCACACUGUGACUGAGACACGGCCCAGACUACUACGGGAGGCAGCAGUAGGGAAUCUUCGGCAAUGGACGGAAGUCUGACGAAGCAACGCCGCGUGAGUGAGGACGGUUUUCGGAUCGUAAAGCUCUGUUGUUAGAGACGCGGUAACUAAAUAGAAAGGCACGGCUAACUACGUGCCAGCAGCCGCGGUAAUAC
rnacentral:rRNA from 1 species